UACGGAGGGUGCGAGCGUUAUCCGGAUUCACUGGGUUUAAAGGGUGCGUAGGUGGGUUUGUAAGUCAGUGGUGAAAUCUCCAGGCUUAACCUGGAAACUGCCAUUGAUACUAUAGAUCUUGAAUUUUCUGGAGGUAAGCGGAAUAUGUCAUGUAGCGGUGAAGUGCUUAGAUAUGACAUAGAACACCAAUUGCGAAGGCAGCUUGCUACAGGGAUAUUGACACUGAGGCACGAAAGCGUGGGGAUCAAACAGG
rnacentral:rRNA from 1 species